GUGGUACCCAAUUUUCAUCAUCCAGGAAAAUAAAACCUGUGAGCUGCAAGAUGUAAAAAAACCUUCUCCUCAGGACUCUCCCAUUUGGACAUCGCAGAGCAACAGUAACUACUUUUUUUAGCUGUUUCAGAAGGUUCUUCAGGAUUUGUACACUUUUUGUCAGGUGUUCGCUAGAGAAGCAGUACAGAAGUGUGGAUAGUGUGUCAGCCUUGAAAUUACAUUCUGGGUUUAAAGCCUGGUGUCUCUUACCAACUCAUAAGACUGAGGAUUAACUCGAUGGAUUCUGGCGUAGUCACCCUAAAUCCCAUCUUGUUCACCCUGGUCUCCAGGUGCUUCCACCAGUCUCUAGAACCUACCAAGAGCGCAGCUGAUGAAGUCAUCCCCUGGCCUACAUAUAAGUUGGGGACAGGGGUGUCUCAGAGAGGCAAAAUAUAAUGAGCACUGGAAUCUAUGUGAUCUUAAUUUAUCCAACCUCUGCAGAACUCUGUUC
rnacentral:lncRNA from 1 species